UUGGAGGGCAAGUCUGGUGCCAGCAGCCGCGGUAAUUCCAGCACCAAUAGCGUAUAUUAAAGUUGUUGCAGUUAAAAAGCUCGUAGUUGAAUUUCGGGGUUCUACCGUUGGUCGGGCUUUGUCUGUACUGGUGUGUAGAAUUUCUACCUUCUGGGGAACCAUCAUGCUAUUAAUUUAGCGUGGUGGGAAACCAGGACCUCUACCUUGAAAAAAUUAGUGUGUUCAAAGCAGGCUUAUGUCUGAAUACAUUAGCGUGGAAUAAUAGAAUAGGACGGUGGUCCUGUUUUGUUGGUUUCUGAAUCACCGUAAUGAUUAAUAGGGAUAGUUGGGGGCAUUAGUAUUCAAUUGUCAGAGGUGAAAUUCUUGGAUUUAUUGAAGACUAACUUCUGCGAAAGCAUUCGCCAAGGAUGUUUUCAUUAAUCAAGAACGAAAGUUAGGGGAUCGAAGACGAUCAGAUACCGUCGUAGUCUUAACCAUAAACUAUGCCGACUAGGGAUCGGACGAUGUUAAUUUUUCUUGACUCGUUCGGCGCCUUACGGGAAAC
rnacentral:rRNA from 1 species